rnacentral:rRNA from 1 species
UACGAAGGGGGCUAGCGUUGCUCGGAAUCACUGGGCGUAAAGCGCUCGUAGGCGGCCUCUUAAGUCGGUGGUGAAAUCCUGGAGCUCAACUCCAGAACUGCCUUCGAUACUGAGAGUCUCGAGUCCGGGAGAGGUGAGUGGAACUGCGAGUGUAGAGGUGAAAUUCGUAGAUAUUCGCAAGAACACCAGUGGCGAAGGCGGCUCACUGGCCCGGUACUGACGCUGAGGUGCGAAAGCGUGGGGAGCAAACAGG